UGGAGGAAAAUGAAUAUUAAAAGUGGGCGAUGAAGGUUGGAAAAAAAUAAUAUUUACUAAAAGGCGAUUCAUGUCAAAGUGGAAAUGUAAGGAAGAAAGUCGGGAGUUUGGGGGUUCAUUAUUAUUCAUGUUAUUUUCUUCUAAUUGAAGCCUUUCCUGAGCGUCGAACGCGUACUGUUCCAGCCCUUGGACGAAACCCUAGGGGUCAUUUGGAAGCCUGGACGUAGCCCCAGGCCCACGAAUCUGAACUUCUUGGUCAAGCAGAAGGUUCGAAGAUCAUACCUGCAGGCUAGUAUUGCAUUCAACAUUCGAGUUGCAGGGUUGUUUGUUGUUAGGCGAUAUCAUCAACACCAAUCACAGCACGAGAGUUGCAACCUACAAUCAUUCCAAGGUAUUCAACCUUCAAAUCGAGGGUUUGGACACUUCAUUGCAGCAACCUGUAGCUAUGAUGUGCAGUCUACGAACAUGGGUAUAUGAAAAAAAAAAAACCGCACUCUAAAUGUAUGCAACAUACAGUAGUUUAUAAUGGUUGUACCUUUCCAGAAUCUGGUGCAGCUGCGAAUGGCUAAACUCGGGAGGUUAUUUGGCACUUGUUUGGACUCUUAUUUGCUGUCAUCAUUCACAGUGGUAAUCAGACUUGCUUCAGAUUCUGUAACAAUACAUUUCAAGCUCCUUUCUAUGCUAUUACCAGUCUAAUAAGCAAGGAAUUAUAACGGGAGAUUAUCCAUGUGACCAUGGAAAUAUUAUGGAGAAUCGAGCCUAGGCCUAUGUGCGUUAGUAAAACCAGGGGUUGUCUAUUUGGAGAGACAACACCCCGUAUGUAUUGUAUUUUAUUCGUAAAUGUAAAAUGUUGCAUGAGUGUAAAUUGUAUUUAUUGAAUUGUUUAAAUUGUUUAAGGGACAAUUGCCAUGUAUGUAAUUGUGAUGUGGAAUUAUGUUGUAGUGUCACUUGACACAUAUGUAGUAUGUUGUGUUGGCAAAUUGUCUUGUCACCAUUUUGGAAAGUUUUAUUUUUUGUUAAUUGUUAUAUCUCCUAAUUAACCUUGAAGGAAACCAAGAAAUCUAGGUUAGUGAGCCACAAGGAGGGUCAACUCAGAGUUGACCCGUAGGUUAACUUCAGGUGGACUUUCUGAAGGUCAAAUCAACUCUAAGAGUCAAUUUUAGAGCAUUUCUAUUAGGCCUCAUGGGGUACCUAUGGGUGAAGGCCAAAAUUGGCCAUGUGUCUUUCCCUUAGCACUUGUUUAACCACCCAAAAAAGUGGUUUUCCCAAGAUGGCCGAAUUCCAUCUAUAGGAGUGCCCUCCUUGGUAGGAUAACCUUCUUGAAGGGAGUAAUCCCUCUUCCCCAUUCCAUUCCCCUUCUCUAGGUACCUAGGUUAGGGAGUGUGUAAGACCUAGGGAAGACCAAUCCAAUGAGGGAUCCCUCACUCUAUCCAAGAGGUUGGAAGCAGUGAGAGAGGCCUUCUUAGGCUAAGAAUGGAAGCUUAGUGAGCUAAUCACCCACUCUCCAUCCUUGGAGAUUUUUGGAAAAUUUUGGAAGAAAAUCAGUUUAGGGAUAACAGAUUUGGGGGCUAAGGAAUUGCAGAAAAGAAUUAGAGGAUUGGGCAACUCUUCAUCAAGCUUUCCCUUAGAUUUCCCUUGGCAGGUCAAGGUUGGUGUUAUCUUUUCCCCUCUUAUGUAAAUGUAAAAUGUGAUAGAAUGUUUGAAUGGAAAUUGCUGUAACUCUUUGCUGUGUUGUAAUUGUAAAAUUUAUGUGUUUCUUGUUUAUUGUUGUUUUAUGUAAUGUUGUGUUUGGGGAAUGUUCAAGACCCUCCUUUCCUUGGGAGGAAAGAUGGUCUUGGGGGUGGAAGGAGUUUGACAGCCCUUAGGGUGAGAGGCUCUCAUUUUUUAGAGUGAUCUCAAGGGUCUGUUCAUGAGACCCUUGCUGCCUUUCUUUUGUGUUAUUUCUACUUGGGGGUCAUAAGGGGUGCAAAUAUGGCAUGGUUGCCUUUUUGGGGGUCAUAAGGGUGUAGGGAUUAAGGAUGAAUUCUGGUUAUGCAUUCAUGGGUGCCAUGAGUUGGCUGUAAGUUUUAUUUAGCAGAUUUUUCCCCUAGGGUACUUGGUCCACUUCCACCCUAGUAAGGCAUCAUAUUUUGUGAUGGAGUUUCAGCUUGGGAAAGGGUGUCUCUGUUGUGUUAUUUUCUUUCCCCUUGUUUGUUAUAUUGCUUGGUUGUAACCCCGUCUAGGUCUUGAUUCUCCUAGCUCGGGGGUGGCUUCUGGUAAACCUAGGCUGGAAGGUGAGCAUCCCAUGGUCACAGUCCUAAAGUUUUAUAUGCAGGUUGUUGGGAAAAAGAUCUAGGAGUUGCAGAUUUGUUUGGUUGCAGAUCUUUAUUCAGAUUCAGAUUUCUAUUUAGAUGCAGGAAAGCAAAAAUGUAAUUUAUGAAUUGUUGCAAAACAAAGGAAUACAAUGUAAAUAAAGGGCUUAAGUUGAUUCUUUUGUUUCUGUUUAAAGAAAUGUAUUUUUUUUAUUAUUCAAGUCCUCAUCAUUAAGAAUGAGAGACUAGUUGGGGUUACUUUCACCCAUUAUAAAUGUGUACCCUAGUAUUCAAAUAUUCUGUAGGCAAAAUAGCUUUUAUUUAAGUUCUGAACAUUUAUUAGGUUGC